GGCGGAUGUAGCCAAGUGGU
rnacentral:tRNA from 1 species